AGUGAACGCUGGCGGUAGGCCUAACACAUGCAAGUCGAACGGCAGCACAGUAAGAGCUUGCUCUUACGGGUGGCGAGUGGCGGACGGGUGAGGAAUACAUCGGAAUCUACUUUUUCGUGGGGGAUAACGUAGGGAAACUUACGCUAAUACCGCAUACGACCUACGGGUGAAAGCAGGGGAUCUUCGGACCUUGCGCGAUUGAAUGAGCCGAUGUCGGAUUAGCUAGUUGGCGGGGUAAAGGCCCACCAAGGCGACGAUCCGUAGCUGGUCUGAGAGGAUGAUCAGCAACACUGGAACUGAGACACGGUCCAGACUCCUACGGGAGGCAGCAGUGGGGAAUAUUGGACAAUGGGCGCAAGCCUGAUCCAGCUAUACCGCGUGGGUGAAGAAGGCCUUCGGGUUGUAAAGCCCUUUUGUUGGGAAAGAAAAGCAGCAGGUUAAUACCCCGCUGUUCUGACGGUACCCAAAGAAUAAGCACCGGCUAACUUCGUG
rnacentral:rRNA from 1 species